AGAUUAAGUUAUUAAGGGCGCACGGUGGAUGCCUUGGCACUAGAAGCCGAUGAAGGACGUUACUAACGACGAUAUGCUUUGGGUAGCUGUAAGUAAGCGUUGAUCCAGAGAUUUCCGAAUGGGGGAACCCAGCAUGAGUUAUGUCAUGUUAUCGACAUGUGAAUUCAUAGCAUGUCAGAAGGCAGACCCGGAGAACUGAAACAUCUUAGUACCCGGAGGAAGAGAAAGAAAAAUCGAUUCCCUGAGUAGCGGCGAGCGAAACGGGAAGAGCCCAAACCAACAAGCUUGCUUGUUGGGGUUGUAGGACACUCUAUACGGAGUUACAAAAGAACAUGUUAGACGAAUCAUCUGGAAAGAUGAAUCAAAGAAGGUAAUAAUCCUGUAGUCGAAAACAUAUUCUCUCUUGAGUGGAUCCUGAGUACGACGGAGCACGUGAAAUUCCGUCGGAAUCUGGGAGGACCAUCUCCUAAGGCUAAAUACUCUCUAGUGACCGAUAGUGAACCAGUACCGUGAGGGAAAGGUGAAAAGUACCCCGGAAGGGGAGUGAAAGAGAACUUGAAACCGUGUGCUUACAAGUAGUCAGAGCCCGUUAAUGGGUGAUGGCGUGCCUUUUGUAGAAUGAACCGGCGAGUUACGAUCUGAUGCAAGGUUAAGCAGCAAAUGUGGAGCCGCAGCGAAAGCGAGUCUGAAUAGGGCGUUGAGUAUUUGGUCGUAGACCCGAAACCAGGUGAUCUACCCUUGGUCAGGUUGAAGUUCAGGUAACACUGAAUGGAGGACCGAACCGACUUACGUUGAAAAGUGAGCGGAUGAACUGAGGGUAGCGGAGAAAUUCCAAUCGAACUUGGAGAUAGCUGGUUCUCUCCGAAAUAGCUUUAGGGCUAGCCUCAAGUGAUGAUUAUUGGAGGUAGAGCACUGUUUGGACGAGGGGCCCCUCUCGGGUUACCGAAUUCAGACAAACUCCGAAUGCCAAUUAAUUUAACUUGGGAGUCAGAACAUGGGUGAUAAGGUCCGUGUUCGAAAGGGAAACAGCCCAGACCACCAGCUAAGGUCCCAAAAUAUAUGUUAAGUGGAAAAGGAUGUGGCGUUGCCCAGACAACUAGGAUGUUGGCUUAGAAGCAGCCAUCAUUUAAAGAGUGCGUAAUAGCUCACUAGUCGAGUGACACUGCGCCGAAAAUGUACCGGGGCUAAACAUAUUACCGAAGCUGUGGAUUGUCCUUUGGACAAUGGUAGGAGAGCGUUCUAAGGGCGUCGAAGCAUGAUCGCAAGGACAUGUGGAGCGCUUAGAAGUGAGAAUGCCGGUGUGAGUAGCGAAAGACGGGUGAGAAUCCCGUCCACCGAUUGACUAAGGUUUCCAGAGGAAGGCUCGUCCGCUCUGGGUUAGUCGGGUCCUAAGCUGAGGCCGACAGGCGUAGGCGAUGGAUAACAGGUUGAUAUUCCUGUACCACCUAGUAUCGUUUUAAUCGAUGGGGGGACGCAGUAGGAUAGGCGAAGCGUGCUGUUGGAGUGCACGUCCAAGCAGUAAGGCUGAGUGUUAGGCAAAUCCGGCACUCAUAAGGCUGAGCUGUGAUGGGGAGAGGAAAUUGUUUCCUCGAGUCGUUGAUUUCACACUGCCGAGAAAAGCCUCUAGAUAGAUAACAGGUGCCCGUACCGCAAACCGACACAGGUAGUCAAGAUGAGAAUUCUAAGGUGAGCGAGCGAACUCUCGUUAAGGAACUCGGCAAAAUGACCCCGUAACUUCGGGAGAAGGGGUGCUCUUUAGGGUUCACGCCCAGAAGAGCCGCAGUGAAUAGGCCCAAGCGACUGUUUAUCAAAAACACAGGUCUCUGCUAAACCGUAAGGUGAUGUAUAGGGGCUGACGCCUGCCCGGUGCUGGAAGGUUAAGAGGAGUGGUUAGCUUCUGCGAAGCUACGAAUCGAAGCCCCAGUAAACGGCGGCCGUAACUAUAACGGUCCUAAGGUAGCGAAAUUCCUUGUCGGGUAAGUUCCGACCCGCACGAAAGGCGUAACGAUUUGGGCACUGUCUCAACGAGAGACUCGGUGAAAUCAUAGUACCUGUGAAGAUGCAGGUUACCCGCGACAGGACGGAAAGACCCCGUGGAGCUUUACUGUAGCCUGAUAUUGAAAUUCGGCACAGCUUGUACAGGAUAGGUAGGAGCCUUUGAAACGUGAGCGCUAGCUUACGUGGAGGCGUUGGUGGGAUACUACCCUAGCUGUGUUGGCUUUCUAACCCGCACCACUUAUCGUGGUGGGAGACAGUGUCAGGCGGGCAGUUUGACUGGGGCGGUCGCCUCCUAAAAGGUAACGGAGGCGCUCAAAGGUUCCCUCAGAAUGGUUGGAAAUCAUUCAUAGAGUGUAAAGGCAUAAGGG
rnacentral:rRNA from 1 species